rnacentral:rRNA from 1 species
UACGUAGGGUCCGAGCGUUGUCCGGAAUUACUGGGCGUAAAGAGCUCGUAGGUGGUUUGUCGCCGUUGUUCGUGAAACUCACAGCUUAACUGUGGGCGUGCGGGCGAUACGGGCAGACUUGAGUACUGCAGGGAGACUGGAAUUCCUGGUGUAGCGGUGAAAUGCGCAGAUAUCAGGAGGAACACCGGUGGCGAAGGCGGCUAUCUGGCGGUGCACUGACGCUGAGGCGCGAAAGCGUGGGGAGCGAACAGG